UCGCUCCUACGGGACGCAGCAGUGGGUUAUAUUGUUUUUUGGGGGACCCCCUGAUGCAGCAACGCCGCGUGAGUGAGGAAGUAUUUCGGUAUGUAAAGCUCUAUCGGCAGGGAAUAGAAAAGAAGGUACCUGAAAAAGAAGCCCCGGCUAACUACGUGCCAGCAGCCGCGGUAAUACGUAGGGGGCAAGCGUUAUCCGGAUUUUCUGGGUGUAAAGGGAGCGUAGACGGAAAGGCAAGUC
rnacentral:rRNA from 1 species